UACGUAGGCAGCAAGCGUUGUUCGGAGUUACUGGGCGUAAAGGGUGCGUAGGCGGUUGUUUAAGUUUGGUGUGAAAUCUCCCGGCUCAACUGGGAGGGUGCGCCGAAUACUGAAUGACUAGAGUGCGGGAGAGGAGAGUGGAAUUCCUGGUGUAGCGGUGAAAUGCGUAGAUAUUGGGAAAGAACACCGGGUGGCGGAGGCGGCACCUGGUCCGAUACUGACGCUGAGGCGCGAAAGCGUGGGGAGCAAACAGG
rnacentral:rRNA from 1 species